rnacentral:rRNA from 1 species
CGCCGCGUGGAGGAUGAAGUAUCUCGGUGCGUAAACUCCUUUCGAUAGGGAAGAUAAUGACGGUACCUAUAGAAGAAGCCCCGGCUAACUUCGUGC